rnacentral:rRNA from 1 species
GACGAACCGAGCGAACGUUAUUCGGAAUCACUGGGCUUAAAGGGCGCGUAGGCGGGCCGUCAAGUCGAGGGUGAAAUCCCCCAGCUCAACUGGGGAAGUGCCUCCGAUACUGGCGGUCUCGAGGGGGAUAGGGGCAUGCGGAACUUCCGGUGGAGCGGUGAAAUGCGUAGAUAUCGUUAGGAACUCCGGUGGCGAAAGCGGCGUGCUGGACCUUUUCUGACGCUGAGGCUCGAAAGCUAGGGGAGCAAACGGG